UAAAUAGAUUAAGCAAUAAGAAAUACGUAUAUAAGAGUAGUAGAUUAAAAUCAUUUAACCCUUAUCAAGAUGACCGCAAUAUCCUCAGGGUGGGCGGCAGAUUACGAAAUUCAGAUUUAAGAGAUGAAUUUAAACAUCCUAUUGUAUUUGAUAGCAAAUGUCGAUUAGUUUAUUUAAUAAUCGCAGAUGCACAUAAAAAUACACUACAUGGCGGGAUUCAAUUAAUGCUGUGCUAUAUAAGGUCAAAGUAUUGGAUUAUCGGUGCUAUGAAUGCAGUAAAGGCGUUUAUACAUGGAUGUAUCAUUUGUACAAGACAUAAGGCUGCAAUAAAAACACAAAUUAUGGGGGACUUACCUAAGACACGCAUUACUCCCGCACGUCCAUUCCUCCAUUCUGGAGUUGACUUUGCCGGUCCUUUGCAAGUUUUAAUGACAAAGGGGAGGGGAGCAAGGUCGAACAAGGCUUACAUCGCUAUUUUCAUUUGCAUGGCCACUAAGGCCAUACAUCUAGAAUUGGUUGGCGACAUGUCGUCUCAGUCAUUUAUUGGGGCCUUCCACAGAUUUGUUGCACGCAGGGGAAGGUGUGCUCAUAUAUGGAAUGAUCAAGGGCGGAAUUUCGUCGGAGCAAAUAAACAGCUCACAGAGGCAUGGAAGGAAGCUAAACUUGAAUUACAGACUCAUUUAAAGGAAAAUUUAACUUUUGAAGGAACACAAUGGCACUUUAUCCCACCAUACAGCCCUAAUUUUGGGGGUCUCUGGGAGGCCGGCGUAAAGUCAGUAAAGUAUCACUUGAGGCGUAUUUUGACCACUGGACUUACAUUCGAAGAAAUGACGACCAACCUUUGCCAAAUCGAGGCAUGCUUAAAUUCACGACCGCUGACACCAAUAGAUACCACCGAUACUGAAUUUAAAAUACUUACACCUGGACAUUUUUUAAUUGGUGAAGCACCUAUCACGACACCGUGUCCAGAUCUGCGUGAUUUUAGUUUAAGUACAUUAUCAUAGGCAAUAUGUGCAAAGAUUAGUUAGAGAUUUUUGGAAUCAAUGGCAAACUGAGUAUUUAUCUAGGUUGCAAGAACGUCCCAAGUGGCUAAAGCGCAUUAAAGAAUUUGAGUUAGGGGAUAUUGUACUAUUGAAGGAUGAACAGUUACCACCAGGCAAGUGGUCACUUGGUCGUGGCUAAACAUCCUGGUUUAGACCAUGUUACAAGAGUAUAUAGUGUGAAAUGUGGGAAUGAUAUAAUUAAACGAUCAAAAUCAAAACUUUGUUA